rnacentral:rRNA from 1 species
UACGUAGGGUGCAAGCGUUAAUCGGAAUUACUGGGCGUAAAGCGUGCGCAGGCGGUGAUGUAAGACAGAUGUGAAAUCCCCGGGCUCAACCUGGGAACUGCAUUUGUGACUGCAUCGCUGGAGUGCGGCAGAGGGGGAUGGAAUUCCGCGUGUAGCAGUGAAAUGCGUAGAUAUGCGGAGGAACACCGAUGGCGGAAGGCAAUCCCCUGGGCCUGCACUGACGCUCAUGCACGAAAGCGUGGGGAGCAAACAGG